rnacentral:tRNA from 1 species
UAGAGAGUAGUAAAAUGGGAUUACAGGAGGCUUUGAUUCUCCAGAUGUAGGUUCGAUUCCUAC